UGCUCUAUGGAGACCAGAAAAAGUUAAGAAUUCACUCCUGGGAAGCAAGACAUGUUUUAAAAUGUCACACACAGUAAGCAUUGGCAUCCAGACAAUCUCGUGCAAACUCUUCAUUUCCCAGUAGAGAAAGCUUUAGCCCAAGGGGAGUGACUUAAGAGGAACUGGAUAUGACAGGAAAAAUGGAGAGCCAUAGUUGUCUCCAAAUGGGGAACAACAGGGCUUUCACCAAGGAAGCUGCCGCUGCUUGCAGAAGACACAACCAACAAGUUGCCGCUGGAACUGGAGCUGCAACCACGCACCACGGGACAUACCAACUUCUACCACGUGAGCCAUGCCCUGCCUGGUCUAUCAGAUUGAUUCUUUGGCAGCCGUGGUGCUUCAGAACAGAUGGGGACUAGAUCUCCCGACAGUUAAAGAAGGUGGUCUUUGCCUGUUCCUCCAAGAAGAAUACUGCUUCUACAUCAACCAAUCCAGGAUAAUAAGAAAUAAAAUCCAGGAGCUACA